CCAUCCAUUAGGUUUCCGUAUGAGCGUGCUCCGUCCCGUCCUAUAAAUUGAAGCUGCUUUCCUUUUGUUUAUGUAAAACCCUAGUUUUCGUUUGCAGCGCUGUGGAUGAUGAGAAGUAUCAAAUUUACAGUUAUCCCUGGCUGAUCUAGCAGGUGAUGAAAAUUUGUAAUCUGACGCAGUCUUUGCUUCCAAGAAAUAGGUGUUUUUGUUCGUGGUUUCAAAAUUCCUAUGUACUAUUUCAAUUAGUAUUGAAUAAUAACUUUAUAUUUCUAA